UGGAAAUCCUAAUGAACCUGCAGUUUCUCAUGUGCCGUGGACAUGACCACGAAACAUUUUUCCACUAGAUUUUCUUUCUGCUUCAUCGCUAGCAUUCAGCCUACUGGGGACAUUU